AAUGCAUUUAAAUUUUCUAUUGAGUGACUGUGGUUCUCAGUAUAAGCUUCCAGCUACAGAGAAAGUUAUUCAAGGAUGCUGGUCUCCCCUUAGAAAUCAGUUUCUUAAAGUAUUGCUGAAAGGUUGGUCUUCUGGAGCCUCCCAGUGUGGAUCCUUUGGCAUUUGAGAGUUGCUUUGUGUAUACGGUCCUUUAACGGAGCAAAUGGCCAGCCAGGAAACCAAAGUAUGGACAAGGGGAAAGAAGCGUCUGUGGAGGAAGUUUUACAAGCGCCCUCCUCAUCCAUUUGGGUGGUGUUGCCCAUAUGCUACAUGUCUGUGGACCACUAUGUGUGUUUAAAGCUUUUUAGUAAAACGUUACUAAAAA
rnacentral:lncRNA from 10 species